AACUCAUAGGUAUGUACUAUCAAAGAGUAUAUACGUUAUAUACUCUUUGGUACUAUGUACCAUUGAAUAAGUAACUUAUUCAUGUAUGUACUGGUAUGUACGGAUAUACGUAGGUAAUCGUUUUUGGAGUUCGUAUCUAAUCAUUGAAUAAGUAAUCAUACAAUGAGCAUACUUAUACAACGAUCAAAUGGAUUUUCGGUGUCGAUGUGACCAUUAAUACCUUAGUCUAGCCUUUAGAUAAUAUAACGUUGACCAGAUUUCUGCCACAGCAGGUUCGUCUUUGAAAACACGUGUUCCGUUACAGCAUAAUUUGUACCCGGAAACACGCCAAUUAAGUGUACGACCAGGCCAUUACUGUGUAACAAAGAAACUGUGUCGGCGAACAAAGUGCGAUUAUAAUUUUGGGUUACCUAAAAUAAUUCCCGCCGUCGAAGUUGAAUGUACGGCGAAAGCAUUGCAUAAUUGUGGCCGAUGUGGCGAUAUUUGCAAGGACGAUUAUUGGCAUAAAAACUAUACCAGUUUUCUAUGUCACAUUUGUAUGGAGGAAGAAAAAGUUUUGAGGGAAGACUUUACCAUGAAACAAUUGAAGGAAUUUCAAAAGAUACGCCUCUGUUGGUAUAAGCAUAAUCAUGAAGGCGUGGAUGCCUAUACACAGUUAUAUUCAGACGAAAAAUUGAAACGAAGAGAAAGGUGUGAAAAUUACCUCAAUCUAUACAUUGAUUCUAUUAAUAAAUAACAGAGUGUACCUACAACACAUUUAGACUAAAUUAUUUAAUAAAAAAAUUGAUUGAGACACAAAUAAAUUAUAAAGAAUU